rnacentral:rRNA from 1 species
GACGAACCACACAAACGUUAUUCGGAAUUACUGGGCUUAAAGGGUGCGUAGGCGGCGCGGAAAGUUGGGUGUGAAAUCCCUCGGCUCAACCGAGGAACUGCGCCCAAAACUACCGUGCUCGAGGGAGAUAGAGGUGAGCGGAACUUAGGGUGGAGCGGUGAAAUGCGUUGAUAUCCUAAGGAACACCCGUGGCGAAAGCGGCUCACUGGGUCUCUUCUGACGCUGAGGCACGAAAGCUAGGGUAG